CCUACGGGGGGCAGCAGUGAGGAAUAUUGGUCAAUGGACGAGAGUCUGAACCAGCCAAGUAGCGUGAAGGAUGACUGCCCUAUGGGUUGUAAACUUCUUUUAUAUGGGAAUAAAACGUUCCACGUGUGGGAUUUUGUAUGUACCAUAUGAAUAAGGAUCGGCUAACUCCGUGCCAGCAGCCGCGGUAAUAGGGAGGAUCCGAGCGUUAUCCGGAUUUAUUGGGUUUAAAGGGAGCGUAGGUGGAUUGUUAAGUCAGUUGUGAAAGUUUGCGGCUCAACCGUAAAAUUGCAGUUGAAACUGGCAGUCUUGAGUACAGUAGAGGUGGGCGGAAUUCGUGGUGUAGCGGUGAAAUGCUUAGAUAUCACGAAGAACUCCGAUUGCGAAGGCAGUUCACUGGACUGCAACUGACACUGAGGCUCGAAAGUGUGGGUAUCAAACAGGAUUAGAUACCCGAGUAGUC
rnacentral:rRNA from 1 species